UUUUUUUUUGUAUUUAGGAGGGUUCCAUCAUCGCUAAGGAGGACCACUGGACAACGAGGUUCGUCGUCGGAGGUAUCAUAAUUGUCGCCCAAAAUUAUCAAAAGGGCUCCACUAUCAUUGAUAAGGAUGUAGGACGCCGUCGGAGUCACCAUGAUCGUCGCCCAAAAUUGUCAAGAGGGCCCUACCACCACCGACGAGGAUGCUGGGCAUCGAGGAUCGCCGAUGGAGCAACGAAAUUGUCGCCAUGGAUGUAGCAGGUAUAUGUUUACACGUUUAAUUGUCUAAUCAUUUUUUUUAUGUAUUUAGAAUGGCCUACAUCACCACUGAAGAGGGCCACAGGGCAAUGAGGUUCGCCUUCGGAGCUACGAAGGGUUCUGCCACCACCGAAGAGGACGCUGGAGGCUGAAGAGGACGCUGGAGGCUGAAGAGGACGCUGGAGGCUGAAGAGGACGCUGGAGGCUGAAGAGGACCGAGAUCGUCGCCACGGAUAUUCAGGUAUAUAUUUUUUUUAAUUUAGUGUCUAACCAUAGUUUUUUUUUUUUUUUUUUUUUUACGUACAUAGGAGGGCCCCGCCACCACCGAAGAGGACCACUGGACGUCGUGGAUCGUCGUUGGAGGAAUGAGGGUCGUCGCCCAGCUCCGAGAUUCACGCCCAUUAGGACGAUGGAAAUAAAGAUGAAUUUUGAAGACGUGUAGCGAACGCAAAGAUAUGGCAGCAUCGAAGACCACUCACGAGCGUUGCAUCGUUAAAAUUAAAGGGGAUUAUAGUUCAACAUGGCGACGACAGGACACCCACCUGUAAAGCCUUGACCACAGAAGAGAAUUUUAACGAAGUCAUAGAAAUUCUCCUUGAUUUUGAAAAACAGACU